GGCUUAAACGCUAGCGGGAGGCCUAACACAUGCAAGCCGAGCGGUAUUGUUUCNUUCGGAAAUGAGAGAGCGGCGUACGGGUGCGGAACACGUGUGCAACCUGCCUUUAUCUGGGGGAUAGCCUUUCGAAAGGAAGAUUAAUACUCCAUAAUAUAUUGAACGGCAUCGUUUAAUAUUGAAAGCUCCGGCGGAUAGAGAUGGGCACGCGCAAGAUUAGCUAGUUGGUGAGGUAACGGCUCACCAAGGCGAUGAUCUUUAGGGGGCCUGAGAGGGUGAUCCCCCACACUGGUACUGAGACACGGACCAGACUCCUACGGGAGGCAGCAGUGAGGAAUAUUGGUCAAUGGGUGCAAGCCUGAACCAGCCAUCCCGCGUGAAGGACGACUGCCCUAUGGGUUGUAAACUUCUUUUGUAUAGGGAUAAACCUACCCUCGUGAGGGUAGCUGAAGGUACUAUACGAU
rnacentral:rRNA from 1 species